rnacentral:rRNA from 1 species
GGUUAAGCGACUAAGCGUACACGGUGGAUGCCCUGGCAGUCAGAGGCGAUGAAGGACGUGCUAAUCUGCGAAAAGCGUCGGUAAGGUGAUAUGAACCGUUAUAACCGGCGAUGUCCGAAUGGGGAAACCCAGUGUGAUUCGUCACACUAUCGUUAACUGAAUACAUAGGUUAACGAGGCGAACCGGGGGAACUGAAACAUCUAAGUACCCCGAGGAAAAGAAAUCAACCGAGAUUCCCCCAGUAGCGGCGAGCGAACGGGGAGCAGCCCAGAGUCUGAAUCAGCUUGUGUGUUAGUGGAACGGUCUGGAAAGUCCGACGGUACAGGGUGAUAGUCCCGUACACCAAAAUGCACAGGUUGUGAACUCGAAGAGUAGGGCGGGACACGUGGUAUCCUGUCUGAAUAUGGGGGGACCAUCCUCCAAGGCUAAAUACUCCUGACUGACCGAUAGUGAACCAGUACCGUGAGGGAAAGGCGAAAAGAACCCCGGCGAGGGGAGUGAAAAAGAACCUGAAACCGUGUACGUACAAGCAGUGGGAGCACCUUCGGGUGUGACUGCGUACCUUUUGUAUAAUGGGUCAGCGACUUAUAUUCUGUAGCAAGGUUAACCGUAUAGGGGAGCCGCAGGGAAACCGAGUCUUAACUGGGCGUUAAGUUGCAGGGUAUAGACCCGAAACCCGGUGAUCUAGCCAUGGGCAGGUUGAAGGUUGGGUAACACUAACUGGAGGACCGAACCGACUAAUGUUGAAAAAUUAGCGGAUGACUUGUGGCUGGGGGUGAAAGGCCAAUCAAACCGGGAGAUAGCUGGUUCUCCCCGAAAGCUAUUUAGGUAGCGCCUCGUGAACUCAUCUUCGGGGGUAGAGCACUGUUUCGGCUAGGGGGUCAUCCCGACUUACCAACCCGAUGCAAACUACGAAUACCGAAGAAUGUUAUCACGGGAGACACACGGCGGGUGCUAACGUCCGUCGUGAAGAGGGAAACAACCCAGACCGCCAGCUAAGGUCCCAAAGUCAUGGUUAAGUGGGAAACGAUGUGGGAAGGCACAGACAGCCAGGAUGUUGGCUUAGAAGCAGCCAUCAUUUAAAGAAAGCGUAAUAGCUCACUGGUCGAGUCGGCCUGCGCGGAAGAUGUAACGGGGCUAAACCAUGCACCGAAGCUGCGGCAGCGACACUAUGUGUUGUUGGGUAGGGGAGCGUUCUGUAAGCCUGCGAAGGUGUGCUGUGAGGCAUGCUGGAGGUAUCAGAAGUGCGAAUGCUGACAUAAGUAACGAUAAAGCGGGUGAAAAGCCCGCUCGCCGGAAGACCAAGGGUUCCUGUCCAACGUUAAUCGGGGCAGGGUGAGUCGACCCCUAAGGCGAGGCCGAAAGGCGUAGUCGAUGGGAAACAGGUUAAUAUUCCUGUACUUGGUGUUACUGCGAAGGGGGGACGGAGAAGGCUAUGUUAGCCGGGCGACGGUUGUCCCGGUUUAAGCAUGUAGGCUGGUUGUCCAGGCAAAUCCGGAUAAUCAAGGCUGAGGUGUGAUGACGAGGCACUACGGUGCUGAAGUAACAAAUGCCCUGCUUCCAGGAAAAGCCUCUAAGCAUCAGGUAACAUCAAAUCGUACCCCAAACCGACACAGGUGGUCAGGUAGAGAAUACCAAGGCGCUUGAGAGAACUCGGGUGAAGGAACUAGGCAAAAUGGUGCCGUAACUUCGGGAGAAGGCACGCUGGUGUGUAGGUGAAGCCCCUGCGGGUGGAGCUGAGACCAGUCGAAGAUACCAGCUGGCUGCAACUGUUUAUUAAAAACACAGCACUGUGCAAACACGAAAGUGGACGUAUACGGUGUGACGCCUGCCCGGUGCCGGAAGGUUAAUUGAUGGGGUUAUCCGUAAGGAGAAGCUCUUGAUCGAAGCCCCGGUAAACGGCGGCCGUAACUAUAACGGUCCUAAGGUAGCGAAAUUCCUUGUCGGGUAAGUUCCGACCUGCACGAAUGGCGUAAUGAUGGCCAGGCUGUCUCCACCCGAGACUCAGUGAAAUUGAACUCGCUGUGAAGAUGCAGUGUACCCGCGGCAAGACGGAAAGACCCCGUGAACCUUUACUAUAGCUUGACACUGAACAUUGAGCCUUGAUGUGUAGGAUAGGUGGGAGGCUUUGAAGCGUGGACGCCAGUCUGCGUGGAGCCAACCUUGAAAUACCACCCUUUAAUGUUUGAUGUUCUAACGUUGGCCCCUUACCGGGGUUGCGGACAGUGUCUGGUGGGUAGUUUGACUGGGGCGGUCUCCUCCCAAAGCGUAACGGAGGAGCACGAAGGUUAGCUAAUCCUGGUCGGACAUCAGGAGGUUAGUGCAAUGGCAUAAGCUAGCUUGACUGCGAGCGUGACGGCGCGAGCAGGUGCGAAAGCAGGUCAUAGUGAUCCGGUGGUUCUGAAUGGAAGGGCCAUCGCUCAACGGAUAAAAGGUACUCCGGGGAUAACAGGCUGAUACCGCCCAAGAGUUCAUAUCGACGGCGGUGUUUGGCACCUCGAUGUCGGCUCAUCACAUCCUGGGGCUGAAGUAGGUCCCAAGGGUAUGGCUGUUCGCCAUUUAAAGUGGUACGCGAGCUGGGUUUAGAACGUCGUGAGACAGUUCGGUCCCUAUCUGCCGUGGGCGCUGGAGAAUUGAGGGGGGCUGCUCCUAGUACGAGAGGACCGGAGUGGACGCAUCACUGGUGUUCGGGUUGUCAUGCCAAUGGCACUGCCCGGUAGCUAAAUGCGGAAGAGAUAAGUGCUGAAAGCAUCUAAGCACGAAACUUGCCCCGAGAUGAGUUCUCCCUGAGACUUUAAGUCUCCUGAAGGAACGUUAAAGACGAUGACGUUGAUAGGCCGGGUGUGUAAGCGCAGCGAUGCGUUGAGCUAACCGGUACUAAUGAACCGUGAGGCUUAACCUU